GACGAACGCUGGCGGCGUGCUUAACACAUGCAAGUCGAACGGAAAGGCCCUGCUCUUGUGGGGUGCUCGAUUGCCGAACGGGUGAGUAACACGUGAGUAACCUGCCCUUGUCUUUGGGAUAACUUCAGGAAACUGGGGCUAAUAUCGGAUAGGAUCUCCUGCUGCAUGGUGGGCAUUGGAAAGUUUCGGCGGUUGGGGAUGGAAUCGCGGCUUAUCAGCUUGUUGGUGGGGUAGUGGCUUACCCAGGCUUUGAAGGGUAGCCGGCCUGAGAGGGUGACCGGCCACAUUGGGACUGAGAGACGGACAAGACUGCUACGGGAGGCAGCAGGGGGGAAUAUUGCACAAUGGGCGGAAGCGUGAUGCAGCAACGCCGCGUGCGGGAUGACGGCCUUCGGGGUGUAAACCGCUUUCGCCUGUGACGAAGCGUGAGUGACGGUAAUGGGUAAAGAAGCACCGGCUAACUACGUG
rnacentral:rRNA from 1 species